rnacentral:rRNA from 1 species
AGGGAUUGCCUCAGUAACGGCGAGUGAAGCGGCAACAGCUCAAAUUUGAAAUCUGGCCUCGUGCCCGAGUUGUAAUUUGUAGAGGAUGCUUUUGGCACGGCACCUUCCGAGUUUCCUGGAACGGUUCGCCACAGAGGGUGAGAGCCCCGUAUGGUUGGAUGCCUAGCCUUUGUAAAGCUCCUUCGACGAGUCGAGUAGUUUGGGAAUGCUGCUCAAAAUGGGAGGUAAAUUUCUUCUAAAGCUAAAUACCGGCCAGAGACCGAUAGCGCACAAGUAGAGUGAUCGAAAGAUGAAAAGCACUUUGAAAAGAGGGUUAAACAGCACGUGAAAUUGUUGAAAGGGAAGCGCUUGUGACCAGACUUGAGCUUGGGGAAUCAGCUGGUGUUCUCACCAGUGCACUUUACCGAGUUCAGGCCAGCAUCGGUUCUCCGAGGGGGAUAAAAGCUUCAGGAACGUGGCUCCUCCGGGAGUGUUAUAGCCUGUUGUACAAUACCCUUCAGGGGACCGAGGUACGCGCUCCGCAAGGAUGCUGGCGUAACGGUCAUCAGCGGCCC